rnacentral:rRNA from 1 species
AACGAACGCUGGCGGCAGGCUUAACACAUGCAAGUCGAGCGCCCCGCAAGGGGAGCGGCAGACGGGUGAGUAACGCGUGGGAAUCUACCGUGCCCUACGGAAUAGCUCCGGGAAACUGGAAUUAAUACCGUAUACGCCCUACGGGGGAAAGAUUUAUCGGGGUAUGAUGAGCCCGCGUUGGAUUAGCUAGUUGGUGGGGUAAAGGCCUACCAAGGCGACGAUCCAUAGCUGGUCUGAGAGGAUGAUCAGCCACAUUGGGACUGAGACACGGCUCAAACUCCUACGGGAGGCAGCAGUGGGGAAUAUUGGACAAUGGGCGCAAGCCUGAUCCAGCCAUGCCGCGUGAGUGAUGAAGGUCUUAGGAUUGUAAAGCUCUCUCACCGGUGAAGAUAAUGACGGUAACCGGAGAAGAAGCACCGGCUAACUUCGUGCCAGCCGCCGCAGUAA